UCCGGAGAAGGCUGACCCUCCCUCAGAGGAGGCAAACUCCACAUCAGGAUGAGCCGAACAGAGGAAUGAAUAUGUCCCCCCUCUGGGCCCUGACAAAAUGGGCAAGCGUCAUCCUCGGCUCGUUAUUAGGUAUGGCAAUCGGUAUUGCAAGGCUGAAACACUCCCGGAAAACCCUAGGUGGCCUGAGAGAGCAAGUCAGGUGAGAGGAGUCUUGAGGCCACGUUGCAAGACAUUUACCUUGAGGUCACAAAGACCCAGGCCGGGUGGGAAGAACCAAACUGUGAGCUGGAAGACAAGAAGGCAACUUGCGAAGGCCGGGGUAUCAGAACUGAGGAGGAGCCUGUGCAGGGGACUGAAAGGAGCAGUCUGUGCGGUAAGAAGUGCAGAGGAAAACGUGGUGUUGUGGAAGCCAAGGGAAGCCAAUUUUUCAAAAAAACGUGUCCUGCUGAACUGUGUCAGUUGCUACCAAUAGGGUGAACAAAGUAGACUUGGAAUUGCCCAACCAAACUGAAGCACGAGGUCAGAGACUUCGGUGAAAGCAGUUUUUGUGGAGUGGUUCAAGAGAUAUGGGGCCGAAGGAAGUGGAGAGAGUAAGAUGGACAAUCCUUUUGAAGAGUUUUGGAGACGAGAAGAAAGGAGAGAUAGCAGCAAGAGGAUCUGGAGUGCUUAUUAUCAACACCGCUGGCUUUGCGUCCAUAUCAUCGGAAUGACCAAAGAGUUGCAGACCCCUCAUACUCUGCCCUCUGUCAGUAAUCGGUAAAUACUCUAGUGGCUAUUUGAUGGACUGCUCUAUUUUUUGCCAGUAAACGAUUUUCCUCAGUUUUAACAGUAACUAUUGCAUAACCAGAAGGAACUUUAUAGCUCACUAAAUCCAACUCUCUCUUUGACAGAGAAAGAAAGAGCAAGAGAGGGAAAACAAUCUGUUUAAGUGCAUGGAAACCUUUGAGUGGAGUUUGGGAGAAGGAACCAGCCAUGCUUGGUUCGGUCCCUACUGAGUUGGGGUAUUCUGAUUGGCUCUCUUGUCCAUAAGGUGGGCUUUCUGGGAUAAGCUUUGCCUCUGCAGGAGGUGGUGGGGGCCUGAGGUUGUCCAUCUACUUGGUACAACACAAAGCCUGAUGUGUGCUGUGUAAGUUUGUUGAAUAAAUUAAAUGAUUAACAUUUGCAAGAAACCACGUGCUAAAUGACUGCAAAGAUGAUUUAGACAUUUUUCCUGCCCUUUGGGAGGUAACAGUCCAUCCAAUGAAGAAAUAAGACAGGUAAAAAAAAAAACUCAAUUUUGGACAGAAGGUAACUGGUGUUUUCAAAAAAUGAUGCACAGAGUGAGAUGAUAAUGGGUCAGCAGAGAGAGGAAGCCAGUCUAUUGGCACAUCUGGGUGGGCCUUAUCAUUGGAACAAGGAUAAAUAAUGAAUUACACCUUUUUCUGGCAUUUCCAGUUUAUGUUUCUAGAGCAGAUAGGUGAAUUUAGAGCAAAUCAGUCACUUUCGACAUAUGACUUGUUGUAAAGUUUUCACAGCCUUUUUCCCACCCAGAAAGAUUACAGAGAGGGUGCAUCUUAUGGCUGAGAUGGAGCAUCUCCGGGACAAACGGGGCAGGUGCACUCUACCUUGCCGAGGGAGAGCCCGUCUCUUACCUGGAGGGUUAGCUGCAUCCCGGGUCCCCACAAAG